rnacentral:rRNA from 1 species
GAUGAACGCUAGCUACAGGCUUAACACAUGCAAGUCGAGGGGAAACGCCAUCGAAAGCUUGCUUUUGAUGGGCGUCGACCGGCGCACGGGUGAGUAACGCGUAUCCAACCUGCCCAUCACUUGUUAAUAACCUUGCGAAAGUAAGACUAAUACCCCAUGAUAUCCCACGAAGGCAUCGGAAUGGGAUUAAAGAUUUAUCGGUGAUGGAUGGGGAUGCGUGUGAUUAGCUUGUUGGCGGGGUAACGGCCGACCAAGGCAACGAUCAGUAGGGGUUCUGAGAGGAAGGUCCCCCACGUGGGAACGGAGACACGGGCGAAACUGCUACGGGAGGCAGCAGUGAGGAAGGUGGGUGAAUGGGGGGGAGCCUGAAGCAGCCAAGUAGCGUGCAGGAAGACGGCGGUAGGGGUUGUGAACUGCGUGUAGAAGGGAAGAAAGUGGGUGACGGGUGAGUGGUUGCAGGUACCUGAUGAAUAAGGACCGGCUAAUUCCGUG